UUGUUUUUUCAACAAGUAUGUCUUGCCAAAUUAAUUGUUGCCAAGAUUUAUUUCCACAAAUCUCUCUCUUAAUUUUGAUUUUUCUUCUUUACUCCAAGGCAUGAUCUCAAUCUCCGAAAAUCUUCAAACUUGAGAGGCUUUAUAAAGAUAUUCGCAACUUGAUCAUGACAUUUCACAUACUUGAGCUCUACCUCUUUCUUGGCAAUGCAUUCUUGGAUAAAGUGAUACCUUGUGUCUAUGUGCUUGAUUCGAUCAUGAUACACCGGAUUCUUUGCUAGUGCUUGCGCAUAUUUGUUAUCAACACAAAUCAUUGUGGCUUUAAUUUGUGGCAGCGACAUCAUGUGAAUGGACUAGUGCUAGUUGAGGAUACUUGUCUUUGUUUCAACGCCCUUAAGGGUCUCCCAGGGCCUUACAUGCAUUCCACAGUUAGGUUUGUCUACCUCAGAUACCAUACCAGGAAGUACAACCUUUAUCAACAGACGUAAGUCGUCCUGUUUCAUUCUUCUGUAUGUUUGGUUGUAUAUAUAAUUUCUUUCACAUCAUUAUUUCCUAAAACCUCUUAACAGGAACAUGAAAAGGAAAAAAUGGAAUGUAAGAUUUCAUGAUUUUUACAAAUUUCAGUAGGAAAAAAUUGUACUGCAUUUUUUCCUACAUUUUACUCUGCCCCGUUACGUAAGAACUAUCAACCCUUCUGAAUAUUUUCCCGCCCAUUAAUACAUAGCACUUCCUUUGUUUCAAUUUGUUUGUCCUUUGUUGUUUGGCUGUUGCGAAAAGAGUGUCUUUUCCCUUUUUCCCAGUCAAGCAAAAUACUAGAUCCUUUUGAUAUUUGUUGUGUACUUCAAGCUCUCGACGAAUUAUCCAACAAUCCAGCCAAAUAUAGAUAAAGACAGAGAACUAGCCAUAAUAAUUUUAUUACUUUAAAAUACAAAUGAAUGUAUUCUACGAAGGAAAAUGUCAAAAAACAAAUGAAUCGACUGAUAGAAUUUUGCAAGUUAGGUGUGUAGUUCUUUUGUUGGAUUACCUCUUGGUAGAACGUAGUGGACUAGAAACCUUCGGCUUAACCAGAUUUGAACUUCUUCCGUUUUCAUUCGCAACAUUUCCUAUGCUUCAUAUGACAUCUUUUUGUUUAAUGUCAAAAACAACUGAAUAGAUUGAUACAAUUUUGUGAGCUAAGUGUCUACUUCUUCCGUUUUCUUUCGCAACAUAUCCUAUGUUUCCUAUGACUUUUUUUGUUUAACAAGCUUGCUGUUUCUCAACCUUCAUAAGGUAGACUUACCUUCUUCUGUUAGCAGGAAAACACUUUGCUAAUAAUAAAGCCAUUGUCAAGCUCAUUUGAAAUAUGUUUUUAUAUGUAGGAAUUGGAUCAACAUACAAUUAGCUUAACAUUUUGACUCCGCAAAAUUAAUGUGAUUAGUUAAACAAAUUGUGCUUGUUUGCCUUAUUUUCAUUCUAAUUUUUAUUUUCCUGAAUGCUACAUUAAUAUUUCUCAAAUGUAUGCCAUUUUUCCCCAAUGGCUGUAACACAUUUAUCUAUGUAUUUUUUCCAGAUUACAUUAAGUUAUAAAUUAGUUUAACAAAUCAUGAACUACUCGAACAGGAAUUGAAGAAAAUAUAGAUAAUGUGUCUACCUAAGAAAGAACUUUUGACAGAAAUUUUCGUCGUCGUACGAGAUAUGCACAAAUGUCACCGGAGAGAAAGCAAUUAAUUUUAUCCGAGCUAAGAGAAAAAAGGGCUUAGUCGAAAAAACAAAAACUCAUUUAUCAAUCAAAUACUACUGGAGCUCUUACAAUCAGCACUUCUUCGUUAUCUCCUCAGGAUGGUUAGCUGACCAUAUUGUUAUCUGCAUUCCAUUUAUAUAUUGUUGCUCGUAAUUUUUCUUUUGCCCGAUUUGUUUUUACCUUUAUUGUCUUUAUUAUGAAUUUUGUAGUUGCUGAGACUUGGGAUUCCCACAUUAAUAGAUACUGCUUUUGUGUUUUAUAUCCAAUUCAGUUAUAUAUUCUUGCUCAUGAAGGACAGCAUACACCGAGUGUAUAACAUUUUCAUAGAAAGAAAAUGAAUCUCAGUAAUCAUGGAAUUUCACACUAUAAAUGUUUGAUAAUAUGCCUAAGACAACUAAUAUUAGUUUUAUGAUACUUUUAGGUGAAUUUUCAGAAUAUUUUGAUAUAUUGUGCAAUCAUUUCAAAGGUACGUUAUCAUGAAUGGAAAUCUAUAAAGUUUCAUUCUUUAUCAAAUAUUAUGCAAUAGAACUUCUAUAUGUACGCUAACAAUUGUUCCAGAUUACUACAUGCAUUAUGUAUUUUUCAAGAAUUAGGGGUUUGUUAUCAACUAAUUUGAGGCAAAGACUAAACUCUCUUCUCUUUAGGUUCGUGUAGUUAUGGAACUUGCCUCCUAAAUUGCUUUCACUCAAUACGAAUUUGAAAAAUUCUCUUUCAUCUUGAUCGUGACGUCUCUAUCAGUGAGUAAAUAAUAAUACUAUGUUCCUGAAACUCUUCAAACGUUAUUAUUUUCUAAUAAAUAUUGUUCUUUUCUUUUUA